rnacentral:lncRNA from 1 species
CAUGAUGUCAAUUAGAGUUGUUAUUUCUAAGCGAUAGAAUUGUGGGGUUUUUUUUCCUUUUUAAUAGAUUUCCAAAAAUAUUCUACAAUGGCUAUGUAUUACUUUUAUAAUUAAGAUGUUAAAGUCCUGUGGGGUCAUUUCAGAAAAUAAUCAUUACUGUAAUGAUUUUUCAGUCUUUCCAGUGUCAGCCUGCCUUUAGCUAAGAUAAUUCCAAUAGUAAACGGACAGAUCCAUUCAGUUUGCAGUGAAACACCUAGUCAUUUUGUUCAGGGCAGCCUUGAACAUACCAGGAAGCAAUAGGAAAAAACUGGAGAAAGUGAAAAGGCUGCGAUGAAGGAAAAGAGGAGACAAACAAGGGUGACAUUGGCUGGGCAGCAAAGAUGACCAAAAGGCCAAGAAGCCUGUGCUGUUCCAGUAUUGAUCCGGUGCUCCUCCGUCACCAUCCGACCACAGAACCUCAGGCUGAUAGUUGUUCACUAACUCAUAGAGCUCUGGCAAUGUCUUAGAAACUGGAAAUUGCCGCUUAUGGAAUGAACUGGAUUCAUCCUCAAGGAAGAGCGGAUGAAACCAUUCAAAAAGGGAAUAGUACAGUCCAAAACGCAGGUUCUGGCUCUGUCACCCAGGCUGGAGUUCAGUGGUGCGAACUUCGCUCACUGCAUCCUCGACCUCCUGGGCUCAAGUGAUGCUCCCACCUCAGCCUACCAAGUAGCUAGGACUACAGCUUGGGAAAGUUCCUAGACAUCAGGAAAUCAGCAUGUUCUCAAGCAAAUACACUUGAUAGACAUUCAUCUCAGCAGGAUAAAUAUCUACAGGAGAAAAUCAUGAAGCUACCAGAAUGUGGCCAAAGGGAAAAAUAUCCUAUGAUCAUUCCAGAUUUUUUGUGUUGGUUCUCCUCUCCUAUUCCCAUCCCAUCCCUGGAGAAAACAAUAAGGCAAAGUUUCCCGUUUUUUUUUUUUUUUUUUUUUGAGACAGGAUCUCCCUCCGCCACCUAGACUGGAGUGUAGUAAGCCUAUCUCCGCUCACUGCAGCCUCAAGCAGUCCUCCAACCUAAGCCUCCCAAGUAGCUGGGACUACAGAGACAUACCACUACGCUAAUUUUUUAGUUUUUGUUUGUUUGUUUGUUUUUGUAGAGACAGGGUCUCACUAUGUUGCCCAGGCUGGUCUUGAACCCCUGGGCUCAAAUGAUCCUCCUUCCUCGGCCUCCCAAAAUUUUGGGAUUACAGACAUGAGCGACCACAUCCAGUGCAAAUUUUUUUAUACCAAGGCAAAGAUGAUCAUGCAAAAGAAACUAAUGAAUGAACAAGCCGUUGGAACAAAAACAAUUUGUUAAUGCUUCCCUGGCCUUACAAAUACUGGAGUGGUAAUGGGUGGAAUCCAUUCUAUUAAAAUAGAAUGGAUUUUAAAUGUGUGGGGGUUUAGAUAUUCUUCUACCACCUCUGAUUUUUCUGGAAACCAUUACAGUUCCACAAUCCUUUUCCCUCCAGGUGAUCUGGGUCACUUUCAUCACUUUCAUCACUAUCAGUUCAUCCACUAUUUGCACCAUUUGGCCAGCUAAGAGUUGGCUAAAAGUGCAGCCAGGUGUGUCGUAAUGAUGCAAGACUAUAGCAGUAUAAUCCCCAUGAUGCAUUCACAGGAUGCAUUACAGAGAAGGGGAAGGAAAGAGUGCAAUUCCAAGAUGAACUUUGACUUGCAACCCACACUCCCUUCAACAAACAGCUUUAAGUAAAUCUUGGAAAUAUUGUUCAAAAUACAUGUGACAAAACGUGACCAUCUUUCCUCUGUUACGUGGCGGGUAUGAUCCUUUCUGUAUUCCUAACAUCUCUCAAUUUGGGUUGAAUGUGCAGUCCCUAAGUCAUAAGCAAGUGCCAGUCACCACUUAUGGUUGCUCCGAAGAGAAAAUUAGACCUUGCUUUAGUUUUUUCUUCCAAAAGAACAACUUUUCAUUUCUUAACCAUUGUCAGCAAUUUCCAUAGGCUGGAUUGACUUACCUUCAUGAUGUUUGGAAGUUAAGACAAUGUAUUUGGCACCAGAGGCCUGAAAAAUAUCUGCCCACUGGUUGGCAUUAAAAAAUUUUGCUGU